rnacentral:rRNA from 1 species
GGGUUAGUGGCGGACGGGUGAGUAACGCGUGAGAAUCUGCCCUCAGGAGGGGGACAACAGCUGGAAACGGCUGCUAAUACCCCAUAUGCCGCGAGGUGAAAUGAAUUUCGCCUGAGGAUGAGCUCGCGUCUGAUUAGCUAGUUGGUGUAGGUAAUGGCUCACCAAGGCAUCGAUCAGUAGCUGGUCUGAGAGGAUGAUCAGCCACACUGGGACUGAGACACGGCCCAGACUCCUACGGGAGGCAGCAGUGGGGAAUUUUCCGCAAUGGGCGAAAGCCUGACGGAGCAACGCCGCGUGAGGGAUGAAGGCCUCUGGGCUGUAAACCUCUUUUAUCAAGGAAGAAGAUCUGACGGUACUUGAU